rnacentral:rRNA from 1 species
UACGUAGGCAGCGAGCGUUGUUCGGAGUUACUGGGCGUAAAGGGUAUGUAGGCGGUUGUUUAAGUUUGGUGUGAAAUCUCCCGGCUCAACUGGGAGGGUGCGCCGAAUACUGAAUGACUUGGAGUGCGGGAGAGGUGAGUGGAAUUCCUGGUGUAGCGGUGAAAUGCGUAGAUAUCAGGAGGAACACCGGUGGUGUAGACGGCUCACUGGACCGUAACUGACGCUGAGACACGAAAGCGUGGGUAGCAAACAGG